rnacentral:rRNA from 1 species
CACACCUCAGUAACACGUGGCUAACCUACCCUUGGGACGAGAACACCCCCGGGAAACUGAGGCUAAUUCUCGAUAAGUGAAGAUACCUGGAAAGGUUCUUCGCUUAAAGGGUGCUUAGAUCAUGCUUUUAGGCACUGCCCAAGGACGGGGCCGCGACCGAUCAGGUUGUUGGUGAGGUAACGGCUCACCAAGCCUUUGACCGGUACGGGCCGCGAGAGCGGAAGCCCGGAGAUGGGCACUGAGACAAGGGCCCAGGCCCUACGGGGCGCAGCAGUCGCGAAAACUCCGCAAUACGCGAAAGCGUGACGGGGUCAUCCCGAGUGCCAUCCGCUGAGGAUGGCUUUUCCCCAGUGUACAAAGCUGAGAGAAUAAGGAGAGGGCAAGCCUGGUGUCAGCCGCCGCGGUAAUACCAGCUCUCCGAGUGGUGGGGACGUUUAUUGGGCCUAAAGCAUUCGUAGCCGGCUGGGCAAGUCCUCCGUUAAAUCCAACGAUCCAAUCGUUGGGCUGCGGGGGAUACUGUCCGGCUAGGGGUCGGGAGAGGUCGACGGUAUUCUCGGGGUAGGGGUGAAAUCCUAUAAUCCCGGGAGGACCACCAGUGGCGAAGGCUGUCGACUAGAACGCGCUCGACGGUGAGGGAUGAAAGCUGGGGGAGCGAACCGGAUUAGAUACCCGGGUAGUCCCAGCAGUAAACGAUGCAGGCUAGGUGUUAGGGCGGCUACGUGCUGCUCUAGUGCCGCAGGGAAGCUGUUAAGCCUGCCGCCUGGGGAGUACGGCCGCAAGGCUGAAACUUAAAGGAAUUGGCGGGGGAGCACCACA